UGUUCAAAAUCAAAUGGUUAGAGCUUCCGCCUCGGAUGCGGGAGUUCGCGGGUUCAAACCCUGGCCGGAUCAU